rnacentral:tRNA from 1 species
UGGGGUUGUGGCUCAGUGGUAGAGCGCUCGCCGAGCAGGUGUGAGGCACUGGGUUCGAUCCUCAGCACCACAA